AAUCAACGCUGGCGGCGUGCCUCAGACAUGCAAAUCGAACGCGAAAUUUCCCUUCGGGGAGAAAGUAGAGUGGCGCACGGGUGAGUAACACGUAGGUAAUUUGCCUUUGGGUGGGGAAUAACUCAGGGAAACUUGAGCUAAUACCGCAUAAUGCAGCGGCUCGACAUCGAGACAGUUGUUAAAGCGGGGGAUUGGAGCAAUCCGACCUCGCGCCUAAAGAGAAGCCUGCGGCAGAUUAGCUAGUUGGUAAGGUAAUGGCUUACCAAGGCGACGAUCUGUAACCGGCCUGAGAGGGCGGUCGGUCACACUGGACACUGACAUACGGGUCAGACUCCUACGGGAGGCAGCAGUCGGGAAUUUUGGGCAAUGGGCGCAAGCCUGACCCAGCAACG
rnacentral:rRNA from 1 species